rnacentral:misc_RNA from 1 species
ACCUAUUCACACAAAAUGACUCCAAGAAGCCAGAGACUUUAGUCAAGAAGGAGAAAGUCGAUGAGAAGACUGC